UACAGAGGGUGCAAGCGUUGUUCGGAAUUAUUGGGCGUAAAGCGCGUGUAGGCGGGUCGUUAAGUUGGGGGUGAAAUCCCGAGGCUCAACCUCGGAACUGCCUUCAAAACUGGCGACCUGGACUCAAGUAGAGGCAAGUGGAAUUGCGAGUGUAGAGGUGAAAUUCGUAGAUAUUCGCAGGAACACCAGUGGCGAAGGCGACUUGCUGGACUUGUAGUGACGCUGAGACGCGAAAGCGUGGGGAGCAAACAGG
rnacentral:rRNA from 1 species